rnacentral:rRNA from 1 species
CACGUAGGGUGCGAGCGUUGUCCGGAAUUAUUGGGCGUAAAGAGCUCGUAGGCGGUCUGUCGCGUCGGUCGUGAAAACCUGCAGCUUAACUGUGGGCUUGCGGUCGAUACGGGCAUGACUGGAGUUCGGCAGGGGAGACUGGAAUUCCUGGUGUAGCGGUGAAAUGCGCAGAUAUCAGGAGGAACACCGGUGGCGAGGGCGGGUCUCUGGGCCGAUACUGACGCUGAGGAGCGAAAGCGUGGGGAGCGAACAGG